GCAGCCGUGGCGAAACUGGUAGACGCGCUAGAUUCAGGUUCUAGUACUUAACGGUUUAGGAGUUCGAAUCUCCUCGGCUGCACCA
rnacentral:tRNA from 1 species